AAACAGAUUCACGGCUUGUACGAUUCCACGAAAAUUAUAAAUCUUCCUUGAGAGGAAAUUUCAUUGUUUUUCAGCGCAAUACUUAUCAUUUAAGGAUAAUUUGUUAUCCUGUCAUUAAAUUUUGAUGUCUGGAAACGUCAAGUGUAAUAAAUUAAUUUUAUUUUGGGAAGAAAACUAGUGUUGUCUGUGAAUCGAAAUAAGAAAAUACAAUCAUGGGAAUCUUUUCUGAAAAAAUAGAAUUGAAGCAAAGCGGAUGAAGGAAAGUAAUUGAAAGCAAAAGAAAUCGCCAGUUGGACAUUAGAAUAUUGCAUUCCUGCAUUUCUCGGCAAUCUGUUUAUUGGAAAUAUAUAUAAUAUAUAUAUAAUAUAUUGGAAAUAUAUAUAUAAUUUUUACCAUAUACGAUUUUUGCAAUCUGUGGGGAUUCCCAAUAUUGUUGCUGCGAACGUCGAGCAUGCACAUGUAUUUGUACGCUGUACGUGCUCAAUUAUAUGAGCAACAUCGGUCACUUUUAGCUAAGGAGGAAAGUGUUAUAAGGAAUUGCUAUCCUUUUCACUUUUCUUUAAAUUGACCGCUAUUAAUAGGAAAUCUACUUGGUUCGUAUUAUUUUAUUUAUUACCUACAUUAGCAACAUCAUCGAACUCGUCAUUGCAAUUGAUAAUUAUAAAUAAAUGCGGAAAUUUGUCUUUGCGAAGGUCUGCGUGACGUCAGUAAAGUAUAUUUCGUAAUGAGAGACUAUUUCUACAAACAAAAAGUUAAUGACGUAUGAUAAGCGGACACGUCAUUGGGUUCUUGAGUUUUAUUCUUUUGUGUGACGCAGUACAAUAAUACACAUUAUGCGUAUGUCACAUAGUACAAUAAUAGCACAAAGAUUUGCUGUUUUUUUCUUAAAAUAACAUAAAAAUUUUAAAAAUCUAUAAAAGCUAUAUUGA